AUGCAAUAUCACAAAAUCAUAGCUCUAACAGAAGCAACACAAACAUAUAAGAAACAUGAAAAAUGUAUUCAAAAGGGAAUAAAACUUGCUGCAGAAAUGCGAAAAUCAGAGGAUCUAAAAGAAGGAAACCCUAACAACUCCUCACACAAAACACAUCCAAGAAAAUUCGAACCCAAAAAAUCCAAACAGUGGUCUUUGGAAAACCAAAAGAAAUCGAAAACAAAAGAGAGAAAAAAGGAGAAGCCAUUGUAA